rnacentral:rRNA from 1 species
GUCUGUUUGAUAAUAUUUACAGUCUGGCCUGCCCACUGAAUUUUUAAAGGCCGCGGUAUAAUGACCGUGCGAAGGUAGCAUAAUAAUUAGUCUUUUAAUUGAAGACUGGAAUGAACGGUCGGACAAAAAGUAACCUGUCUCGGAUUUAUAAAUUGAAAUUAACUUUUAAGUGAAAAGGCUUAAAUAAUCUUAAAAGACGACAAGACCCUAUAAAACUUUAUUUAGCUAAAUUUUAUUUUUAAUUUAUAAGUGUAAAAAGAAUAAUGUUUAACUAUAUUUCGUUGGGGCGACGAAAGCACACAUUUAACUGCUUUAUUUUUAGAACAAUUAUAUUUGAUUAUUAUGACCCUUUUUUAAGAUCUAAAGAAAAAGUUACUUUAGGGAUAACAGCGUUAUUUUUUUUGAGAGUUCAUAUCGACAAAAAAGUUUGCGACCUCGAUGUUGAAUUAAAGUCCCACUAUAGUGCAGUAAUUAUAUAGGUAGGUCUGUUCGACCUUUAAAACUUUACAUGAUUUGAGUUCAAACCGGUGUAAG